rnacentral:lncRNA from 1 species
UAGGUGUGUACGUGCGAUCGAGCAGGAGAAAGGGGAAGGGGUGUAAACCCUAACCCACAAGAAAUCAUCAAAUUGAAAAGGGAACCGAGGGCUGAUUGUAUCCAUGAACCAAGAAUGAUGAUCCCUUAAGCGUUUCUAACAUCGAGAUGAAUGUGUGAAAUAAUAGGAACAUGUCAAGGAAAGCUCAAGCAUGGAAAGGCUAACGAGUCAACAGUAAACAUGGGAACUAUGCGUAAAUUCGGACGCACGAGGUAAGUAAACUCCCAGACUCCCACUUUAGUAGUAAUGGAAUUAAUUGUAUGAUAAUUGUUAGAGGUUAUGUUGAAAUGCGUUAUUGCGGAUGAUAUCAAAUAAGUAGUAUUAAGUAAGUGGUUUCCGAAUCACUUCUUAGAUUAUUUAAGCAAAGUUAUGUGCUAGUCACUUAAGCAUGAUAAUCGAAGCCUAUUAGGAUUUGGUUAUUUAGAAGUGAAGGUUUUCGCUAUGUAGACCAACGGGUCAAAUUAAGAAUUUAUUUCAUUACGGAAUGGUUGCAUAAGUAUAGACGGCGGUAUUAUAAUCCGGGUAAUUAACAGGUAGAAUUUCUCAUAAGUGCGCUAACCGAGAGACGGGGACGCGGGUUAAUGGGCAAAGGACUUGGUUUGAGACAUGACCAAUGGGAACAAUUUCCUGUAAGGAAAUUGUGCUAAUAAAGUUCAAUUACGUAAAAUUUAUUGAAAUGAAUAAGUUUAACGUUUACUGGGAAUCGGGUUCAUAAACUCAUUGUACGGAACUCCGAAUAAUAUAAAAGUGUUAUAGUUAUAACGUUCAUGUGAGUUUUGGGUAUAAACGUAUGAGUUGUUUGAUAAAAACAUGAACGGGUCGAAUAAUUCGUAAAUGAAUAUUAAGCCGAAAGCAUAUAAGUUAAGAACUUUCUUUAGUUUGGAUGUUAGAUUUUAAGUCAAUUUGAUAGAGGACCAAAAUAUGGUCAUGUAGGAAGAAACGGGAGGUUAAACGGGUGAACGGUUUGAAAGUUACGGCCAUUUUCGUAAAAAAAAGUUGGAAAAGCUACAGAGCAGCCAAAUCGUAAGCUACGGCUGAGCCGUAGGCUACAGAACGUAGCUGCUGUUUCGAUCAGAACAGCCGAAUCGUAAGCUACGGCUUAGUCGUAGGCUACGGAAUGUAGCUGCUCAUUGGACCAGAACAACUGAAUCGUAAGCUACGGCUCAGCCGUAGCUUACUACGGGCAGCUUUUGCAAAAUGUUGAUUGUUUUGUUAUUUUGGCCUUCGGGCAUAAAUAGAUACAUUAUAAACUCCUCAUAACUAACGUAUUUGGAUUAUAAAUGUGUCUGGGAACGAGUAAGUAUGUAUGUAUGUAUGUUAAUAUGUAUAACACCUAUUUUAUAAGAGUUGUGAAUAUGACAUGUUAGUAUAAGUUUAUGUGUAUAAAUGUGUGUAUGUGUGUAUGAAUGAAGCAUGUAUAUAGGUGUAUAUGAUUGCAUAAACGUAGAUAUGACGGUAAGUAUGUAUGAAUGCAAGAUGCUAUGAAUGUAAGAUGAUAUGUUUGUACAUAGGAAUGGCUACAAGAUGUCUGGGUAUUGACGAUUACUAAUGAUGUGCCUUAAGUUUGCAAUGAAAUGCAGGUAUGAAAUCGUCGGGUUCAUGAGGAAUUGAUACCGGACUUGGAUUAAGAGUAUUUAACAGAAUGCUUGGAUAAUUCCAUGUUUACAUUAUGGAAUGCUAUGCGAAUUUCAAUUAUAUAGUAUAAUGUUGUAUGGUGAGAUAAUGACUAAUGGUUAAGUCGUAUAUGAUGUCCACAGGUAUCACACUGAUUUCCUCUACCACUAACGAAGAUAAGCGGGCAUAGAUCAAGUCAAAGAACAAGGAUUGUACGGAUAGGACGGUCACCUAGCUUGAAUUAUGUAACGCGCCUGGAAGUAUUAAUUUAAGUAUGAACGUUGUUAAUUCUUUCUAGUAAAAGUUUGACAUUUUUGUAACUAAGCCUUUUCGUAAGUAAUGUCCUUAAUAAAAAAAGAAUUUUUAAGCU